rnacentral:rRNA from 1 species
CUACGGGGUGCUGCAGUGGGGAAUUUUGCGCAAUGGGGGAAACCCUGACGCAGCAAUACCGCGUGAGUGAAGAAGGCCUUUGGGUCGUAAAGCUCUUUUCUUGGGGAAGAUAGUGACGGUACCCAAGGAAUAAGCACCGGCUAACUCCGUGCCAGCAGCCGCGGUAAUACGGAGGGUGCAAGCGUUGUUCGGAUUUACUGGGCGUAAAGGGCACGUAGGCGGCACAGCAAGUUAAGGGUGAAAUCCCGGGGCUCAACUCCGGAACUGCUCUUAAAACUGCUGAGCUAGAGAUAGUCAGAGGCGGGUGGAAUUCCAGGUGUAGAGGUGAAAUUCGUAGAUAUCUGGAGGAACACCGGUGGCGAAGGCGGCCCGCUGGGGCUAUUCUGACGCUAAGGUGCGAAAGCGUGGGGAGCAAACGGGAUUAGAUACCCGAGUAGUC